rnacentral:tRNA from 1 species
GGCCCUAUCAUCUAACGGUUAGGAUACGUGGUUCUCAUCCACGAAAUCGGGGUUCGAUUCCCCGUAGGGCUA